UGCAAGUCGAGCGGAGAGAGGNGCUUGCACCUUAUCUUAGCGGCGGACGGGUGAGUAAUGCUUAGGAAUCUGCCUAUUAGUGGGGGACAACAUUCCGAAAGGAAUGCUAAUACCGCAUACGUCCUACGGGAGAAAGCAGGGGAUCUUCGGACCUUGCGCUAAUAGAUGAGCCUAAGUCGGAUUAGCUAGUUGGUGGGGUAAAGGCCUACCAAGGCGACGAUCUGUAGCGGGUCUGAGAGGAUGAUCCGCCACACUGGGACUGAGACACGGCCCAGACUCCUACGGGAGGCAGCAGUGGGGAAUAUUGGACAAUGGGGGGAACCCUGAUCCAGCCAUGCCGCGUGUGUGAAGAAGGCCUUAUGGUUGUAAAGCACUUUAAGCGAGGAGGAGGCUACUGAGACUAAUACUCUUGGAUAGUGGACGUUACUCGCAGAAUAAGCACCGGCUAACUCUGUGCCAGCAGCCGCGGUAAUACAGAGGGUGCGAGCGUUAAUCGGAUUUACUGGGCGUAAAGCGUGCGUAGGCGGCUUUUUAAGUCGGAUGUGAAAUCCNCCGAGCUUAACUUGGGAAUUGCAUUCGAUACUGGGAAGCUAGAGUAUGGGAGAGGAUGGUAGAAUUCCAGGUGUAGCGGUGAAAUGCGUAGAGAUCUGGAGGAAUACCGAUGGCGAAGGCAGNCAUCUGGCCUAAUACUGAC
rnacentral:rRNA from 1 species